UCUUAGUUUGCAUCUUGUCCUUCUGUUUAUAUCAGUGAUGUGUCGCUAUUAGGGCUAGGCUCCAUAACAUCUCAUCCUUUCUUCUAGAACUUGGUUAUUUAUCGAGCACGUCGUGUGUCAUGCAUUUUUCUUUAACAUCUUUUAGCUUCUAUUAUGAACAAACAUCUCCUUUUUUUUUUCUUUCUAGAAAUCUUUAUCAGGCACUUUAAAGAAUUUCCAUAGUCCCUAAUUUCAGAUUGCUCUAAGUAAUUGUGGAGAUAAGACACACACCUUUCUUGUCUGAAAUUUGAAAUGUUCAAUAUGCAAUUCUCGGCGUUCCUGUAAGGACAGGCUUCCGAGGGUGGACCACGUGGGUUUGCUGGCUCCUUGUUUGUUAUGGAGUGAUGUACAGCCCCCUUGUGGCUCUUUAAUGUAACAUAAAAAGGGAAGCUGAGGGCAAUGAGGUGCUGGAGAUGCUGCCUGUGAAUUAAACAAUCAACAACAAAAUUAUAUGCAUUAGUUACUUAAGAUGAAGAAGAUGAAGAAGACGGCCAGUCUAACAAACCUGGGGCCAAGAUCAGGAGGUUGAUUUUGAACAGGGACUUAUGCUGGCUACAAGGAGCUUGGAGUUGAGCUACUGUGAGAGCCAUAUAAAUAAAGCACGAUAAAUAACAAGUUAAGGGUUGAUUUAUGUACAAAGGGGUCUGUGAACACUGUAGAUGGAGGAACUGCUUGUUCUAGUAUGCUAGAAAAGGCUUCCUAGAGUACAGGAGAGAAAUUUGGCAUUGAAUCUUGAAAGACAAGUGGUAUCCUCUGGACAGACAUGAUCAGGGGUGGGGAGUGAAUAACAGGGCGUGGUGAACAGCAUUCCAGACAAAUGGAAUAACAGGUGCAAAGAGGAUGGUGGUGAUGUUGGUGGUGGAUCUGAGAAAGCGGGCAAGAUUUGGGGCAUUGGGGCAAAGUAUAAGAGCAGAAGAGUGUGGGGCCGGCCCCAUGGCUGAGUAGUCAAGUUCACGUGCUCCACUUUGGCAGCCCAGGGUUCUCUGGUUUGGAUCCUGGGCACAGACACACACACCGCUCAUCAAGCCAGGCUGUGGCGGCAUCCCACAUAGAAGAACUAGAAUGACCUACAACUAGGAUAUACAACUAUGACUGGGGCUUUGGGGAGAAAAAAAAAUAAAGAGCAGAAGAGUGGCCAGAGAGAAGGUGGAGGACUGGAUUUGGGGCAGGCCAGCCAAAGCGCUCCAUGGAUGUCAAUCUUUAAGAGAUACUAAAACAAAAAAUAUAAUGCCAAUUAACUCAGCCACUUGUAGCUCCUUACAUAACUUUUGAAACCUAAAUUGGUUCCAUUCCCUUGAGGUAAGACAGUGCCCUUGAAUGUUACUUUAAAAAUUCUCCUGGCUGGCAAUUUCAAUUAUGUUAUAUUCAGUACAUGUAAUAAAUUCCUUAUUUUUAACAUAAAGAGGUUUGUAAUUCUUAUUAAUAGAAAAUCAAGUUCCUUUCUGUCCCAUGCUGAACAGAUAUUUAAAGAAAACUGACCUACUUAUCUAUUGCCAAAUUAUUAGCCUUCAGAUAAUGCACAUAAUCCUCCAUCCAGCCCUGGAUGGAGAAUUCCAGGGCUCCUCUCCCAGGUAAAAACGGGCCUGUUCCACCGGCUAGGUGAGCUCAAAAUGUUGGUUUUUGUGAGUGCCUAGAAGAGGCUAUGUUCAAUGAAGUCUUCUAAAUUAUGUGUUCAGCACCCCCAAAUAAUCUAUUUGGUAGUCUUUUCUAAUAAAAAUUUCCUUGCAGGAGACUUAAAGGUAAACUUGACUGUCUCUGCCUUAGAGCCAUAAUAUUCUCUCUGGUAUUCCAAAACAUCAGGGCCUUCCACCUUCUCCCCUGAGGUUUUGUACACACCCUCCGCAUUUGAACAGCCCUCGAAAUUCGGUGUUCAAAAAUACAGUCCCUAUAUAAAAAUCUCAAAUCACUAUGUUGUACACUUGAAACUAAUAUAAGAUUGUAUGUCAACUACACCUCAGUAAAAAGUAUAUACAUAUUCUCUCUAGGAUGACGGCACCCUAAAGUCAUAUGUAAACUAAAUCAUUACUAUGAGUAUCCACUGUUUUUGCAUUGAUUCUUCUCUCCUGGAUGUUGGACCUAAAGCAAAUAAUUUAACCUUUCUGUGCUUCCAUUUCCUCAUGGGAAAUUAUAACAUUACUUCCCGCUUUAUAGCUUUCUGUUGAGGAAUAAACGAAACGAUACAUGUAAAGCGCUUGACACAGUUCCGCACCACAGCCAGCACUCAUACGCUCAUCCUUCAGAGGGACUGUACUUUUCCCCUCUGUACUUGGCUCUCGCCAAGUCUUCAGCGUGACCCCGCCCAGGCUCAGGGUACAGGAACCGGAGAGGGGAGAGUGGGCAGUGUGAGGGGUCAGAGUGCAAAGGUCAGAAGGCAGUUGGUUCAGGCAGUGUGCAAAGAAGUCUGAAGAAAGACCUGUGGACUUUGCUUACCUUGGCGACCUCAGCCAGUGGGAUAGCACCGCGGAGACCUGCCUGCAG
ensembl:lncRNA